rnacentral:rRNA from 1 species
GUGGAUUAGAUACCCUGGUAGUCCACGCCGUAAACGAUGUCGACUUGGAGGUUGUGCCCUUGAGGCGUGGCUUCCGGAGCUAACGCGUUAAGUCGACCGCCUGGGGAGUACGGCCGCAAGGUUAAAACUCAAAUGAAUUGACGGGGGCCCGCACAAGCGGUGGAGCAUGUGGUUUAAUUCGAUGCAACGCGAAGAACCUUACCUACUCUUGACAUCCAGAGAACUUUCCAGAGAUGGAUUGGUGCCUUCGGGAACUCUGAGACAGGUGCUGCACGGCCGUCGUCAGCU